ensembl:lncRNA
CACACACACACACACACACACACACACACACACACACACACACACACACACACACGCACACAAACACAAACCAACACACACACAUACACAAACACACACACCUGCACACAAACUCAUGUUCUCUUCUGCAUCGCUUCUGUUUAUUGAACUAUGAUCUAAUGAAUAAUAAUGUCUUUAUCAAAAUUCAUCAACAAUAGUUGUCCUUUCCAUUAAUCUUAAUCUUGGGAUUGUCUUUCAAUGAAAGGUUGUGCAUGGGUGAAUGCGUGCAUGUGCCUACGUGUGUUUGAGCAUCUGAGUGUUUCGGCCUGUGUGUGUGUGUGUGUGUGUGUGUGUGUGUGUGUAGCCUACUCCCAGAACCAGGAAUCACUCGGCCCUUGACUUCCACCUCUGAGAGUUCCACAGCAGAGGAGGAACAGAGAGCCAAGUCACCUUUCAUUUCUCUUACAAAGAAGCUCUCUUACACAGAAGGUCAACAAUUUUACAGCUCACGUUUGCAAAGGGGCCUCUUCUUGUGCCUGUAUUUUCUGGCGACAAAAUAAAGUGUGAAAGUCAGAAUAUCAGCAACGGCAAUAGACAGGAAGUGAUGUGGUUUGUUAGUUAUAAGUUCAGGAAACUCUGCUCGGUGGAAACACUGCGAUGGGUUCACCUGGUUGCAAAAAGUAGCAGUUAAUACUUUGUAUGUGUGUGUGUGUUUGUGUGUGUUUGUGUCAGUGUGCACCAUGGCAUUGGUUUUUGGACACACUGUUUGAAGGCAGCUGAAGGGUGUAAGGAUGUGUGUGUGAGUGGGGUUGUUGGUAUGUUUGUGUGUGUGUGUGUGUGUGUGUGUGUGUGUGUGUGUGUGUGUGUGUGUGUGUGUGUGUGUGUGUGAGUGUUAGUGUGUAUGCACCAUGGCUUCGGUUUUUGGAUACACUGUUUGAAGGCAGCUAAUGAACGAACAGUUGAAGGAUCUGUGUGUGUCUAUGGGUGUGGGGUAUGGGUGUGGGUGUGUGGGUGUGUGUGCUUGGGAAUCUGUGAUUUGUAUAGUCUGUGAGCCGUAAACUACUCCUUCUCAUCAAGAGAGGUUGAUAGGCCGACUCAACCUUUUAAAUGUCUGCAUCAUGUGCAAUGAUGGAAUUGAGGGAGUUCAGUUUAUGCAUGUUGAUUCACAUAAAAUCAUAGCGACAUUUUAAGCUUUCUCUAAAGACGAGCUAUUUGAUUGAUGAAUGGAUUUCAGCUUUAAAGGUUUGAUUAUGAAAUGUUAUGCUGAAGACACAUAUUAACAUUAACGAUAGAUCCCAUUUUGACCGAUAAAAUGUGUCUCACCUGGCAAAAAUAUGAAAUUACUGCUCGGGUUAAAGAGAUGCCAUGUCUUUAUGUAUUUAUAAAUGUCUGUUUAUAAUUUCAAUAUCAAUAUCAAAUAAUUAAACCAUUCAAUCUGUGGAAAUCUUGAAGUCGGAGAGGAAGUGACAUCUCAUGCAUUUAAAAAUGUAGCUAUAAUAUAUCUACCCAAUCUCAUCCCCACACUUUCAUUUUCUUCUUCUGAAUUCUUCUUUUUUUUAAUAAUUCACAAAUAUAAUUAAAAAAUCGGAUUUUAAAACAAAACAAAAGCUAUAUUUCCCAUUCAACAACUGAAGUCGGGUACUUGGAGCUUGGAGGUUAUUCCACAUUGUGUGGAUGCCCAGGACCUUCACUUUUAGAGCCCGCAAGUGUGUGGGGACGGUUGGGACAGGGAGAGAGACUUGCUUGAGGAUGAUGACUUCCAGCAAGUCAGGCCCCUUGGCUUGUGUAUUCCUGAUCGGCGUUUAGGGUUACAACUCUAUUAAUAGACCCUUCUCUCUGUGCCUGCUCCCUCCACUCUGCAAGCUGCCACACACACACACACACACACACACACACACACACACACACACACACACACACACACACACACACACACACACACACACACACACACAAACACACGUACACGUACACACACAUAUUCAAUGUCACGCACACACACACACACCCCCCCCAAAACGCUCUCUCUCUUUGCCACGUACACACACACAUCCAAUAGAAUCGCACAAGUCUUCAAAUAUCACGUCACUGAAAAUCAGUGUGUGCUGAGCUUGCCAUUUCACUGUGUGGCCCAAUGCUACCCAACGUUAGCGGCUGC